rnacentral:rRNA from 1 species
CAAUAGCGUAUAUUUAAGUUGCUGCAGUUAAAAAGCUCGUAGUUGGAUUUCGGGUGGGAAUGGCCGGUCCGCCGUUUCGGUGUGCACUUGCUACGCCCACCUUGCUGCCGGGGACGUGCUCUUGAGUUCACGCUCGGGACACGGAGUCGGCGAGGUUACUUUGAGUAAAUUAGAGUGUUCAAAGCAGGCCUACGCUCUGAAUACAUUAGCAUGGAAUAACACGAUAGGACUCUGGCCUAUCUUGUUGGUCUGUAGGACCGGAGUAAUGAUUAAGAGGGACAGUCGGGGGCAUUCGUAUUUCAUUGUCAGAGGUGAAAUUCUUGGAUUUAUUAAAGACUAACUUAUGCGAAAGCAUUUGCCAAGGAUGUUUUCAUUGA